rnacentral:rRNA from 1 species
GUGAGUAACCUGCCCUUAACUCUGGGAUAAGCCUGGGAAACUGGGUCUAAUACCGGAUAGGAGCGUCUACCGCAUGGUGGGUGUUGGAAAGAUUUAUCGGUUUUGGAUGGACUCGCGGCCUAUCAGCUUGUUGGUGAGGUAAUGGCUCACCAAGGCGACGACGGGUAGCCGGCCUGAGAGGGUGACCGGCCACACUGGGACUGAGACACGGCCCAGACUCCUACGGGAGGCAGCAGUGGGGAAUAUUGCACAAUGGGCGAAAGCCUGAUGCAGCGACGCCGCGUGAGGGAUGACGGCCUUCGGGUUGUAAACCUCUUUCAGUAGGGAAGAAGCGAAAGUGACGGUACCUGCAGAAGAAGCACCGGCUAACUACGUGCCAGCAGCCGCGGUAAUACGUAGGGUGCGAGCGUUAUCCGGAAUUAUUGGGCGUAAAGAGCUCGUAGGCGGUUUGUCGCGUCUGUCGUGAAAGUCCGGGGCUUAACCCCGGAUCUGCGGUGGGUACGGGCAGACUAGAGUGCAGUAGGGGAGACUGGAAUUCCUGGUGUAGCGGUGGAAUGCGCAGAUAUCAGGAGGAACACCGAUGGCGAAGGCAGGUCUCUGGGCUGUAACUGACGCUGAGGAGCGAAAGCAUGGGGAGCGAACAGGAUUAGAUACCCUGGUAGUCCAUGCCGUAAACGUUGGGCACUAGGUGUGGGGACCAUUCCACGGUUUCCGCGCCGCAGCUAACGCAUUAAGUGCCCCGCCUGGGGAGUACGGCCGCAAGGCUAAAACUCAAAGGAAUUGACGGGGGCCCGCACAAGCGGCGGAGCAUGCGGAUUAAUUCGAUGCAACGCGAAGAACCUUACCAAGGCUUGACAUGUUCUCGAUCGCCGUAGAGAUACGGUUUCCCCUUUGGG